CUUCACCGACCCCAGCCACAACGGCCGGUCUUCAGGACGAUCCUGCCCGUACGUGGCCAGCAGCGCCUGCGCCUC
rnacentral:antisense_RNA from 1 species